UCGAAUAGAUAUUGUUGUUUAAAAAACCUUAGACAGUUUUUAAUUUAAUUUCGUAUUUUUAGGUUUAAAAAAAAUCUAACUUUUCAUUUCAAUUUACUAUAAUAAAGUACUGAAGCUAUGUUUAAAUUACUUAUUAGUAGAACUUUAUAAGGACAUUGUAUGGUUAUUAUCAAUUUUUAGCCCGUAACAUAUUAAUAAUACUACGACAACCAGGAAAGAACUGAUUUAUUAUGACAAUACAAAUAAUGCAAGCUAUAAUUUAAAGUGCAGUUCAGAAAAUUUUUUGCGUAAUUAAGAGAAACAUAUUUGACAUCAGAAAAUUACUAAUACUAUAAAUAAAAGUGGAGGCAUGAUGGGUAUGAAAUCAGUGAAUUCUUCUUGAACAAAUUCAUUACAAUCCAUUUUUCCAUAAGUUUCAGUCUGCAUAAGGAUUUGGAUUUGUGGUUUGUUAUUAAUUUUCUUUUUUGGCUCAUUAGCAACAUUAUUAUUAUUAAAACCUUGACCAU